UGAGCAAUCUGCCCUUCUCAUCGGAAUAAGCGUUGGAAACGACGUCUAAUGCCGAAUACGACCUCCUUUCGCAUGAUCGGAGGUGGAAAGCUCCGGCGGAGAAGGAUGAGCUCGCGGCCUAUCAGCUAGUUGGUGGGGUAAUGGCCCACCAAGGCGUCGACGGGUAGCCGGCCUGAGAGGGCGACCGGCCACACUGGGACUGAGACACGGCCCAGACUCCUACGGGAGNAGCG
rnacentral:rRNA from 1 species